rnacentral:lncRNA from 1 species
CAGGCAGAGGCUGCAGAUCUAGACAGGUGAAGGGAGAAGGAGGGACAGAAAAAACGACACGGAGAGAACAAGAAACAGUGUGAGACUCAUUUAAACGUUGCUGGUUCUGCAAAUGCACUCAUGACUGAACUCAUGUCCUAGAAACUUUAUGAAAAUGGCCACAGCCUCCUGGUUCUACAGCCUUCGGACUCUGCACCACCCUGAAGACACACCUUGCAUGAGCCCUAGCUCAGGCAAACACAGCAGGAGCCCAGGGCCACAUGCACUGCCAAGCUCCCAUCUUCAGCCCGGGCUCACUGGCUCCCAGCCCUGCUCUCUGCACCAGGAGCUCUGAUCUGCUGGCGCAGGGGUUCAACACCAGGGUUUGCCCAGCCGCGGCCAAGGGUGAGCUGGGAGGGAGCUGUCAGCAAUAAAGAGUACAUGGGCUUGAUCUGCA